rnacentral:rRNA from 1 species
UACAGAGGUCUCAAGCGUUGUUCGGAUUCAUUGGGCGUAAAGGGUGCGUAGGCGGCGCGGUAAGUCGGGUGUGAAAUCUCGGAGCUUAACUCCGAAACUGCAUUCGAAUACUGCGGUGCUUGAGGACUGGAGAGGAGACUGGAAUUCAUGGUGUAGCAGUGAAAUGCGUAGAGAUCAUGAGGAAGACCAGUGGCGAAGGCGGGUCUCUGGACAGUUCCUGACACUGAGACACGAAGGCCAGGGGAGCAAACAGG